GGGAACUUCACAGUGUUAAAGUAUCAAGCAGGCAGACUGACUCCAGCUUUCCCGACUCCAAGAGACACACGGGCCAGCCAAAAAAGAGCAGACGUUCCAAGAAAGGAGCGCUAAGAGUCCAACAUAUCCAAAAGAGAAACUUUUCCAAGAGUGUGAAUGGGCUCAUCUUUGUGGUGGACUCUAGCGCGGGAAGACCAUUUUGACAGAAGUAAACAACUGAAUGAGGCGCUACACAUUCUGCAAGCAGAGUCCUUUUCACUUCUCCGAUUGGUUUGCAACCGAUGAAAAAAUUUUUACAAGACUGGUCCUUCACCACUGUUAUGUGCAUCUGCUUCAUCUGUAAGAGUUAUACCUGGGCCAAACUUUAAGCACACAGGCCUCGGAGAGUUCAUGCUAACCUUUGUGAUGCAAACAUGGAAGUCAAGAAAAUCUCAACUCAAAUUCAGUUCCUGGCCUUGGGCAAGUUACUGACCUUCUUUCUGCUGCAAUUUACUUGUCUGUAAAAUGAGAAUAAUAACAGCAACCUACCUUGCUGGCAUGAGGAUCACACUCUCUUUUGAAGUGUCCCAUUUAAUGGUUGUUAUUAUGUCUUGCCACCAAGGGUCUGAUCUGCAAAAGAUUCUCAGGUAAAUAAAAAAUAAUGCCCAUAUUUA